rnacentral:rRNA from 1 species
GUGAAUUGCAGAAUUCAGUGAAUCAUCGAAUCUUUGAACGCACCUUGCGCCCUUUGGUAUUCCGAAGGGCAUGCCUGUUUGAGUGUCAUUAAAUUCUCAACCUUGCAAGCUUUGCUUGCGAGGCUUGGAUGUGAGGGUUUUUGCUGGCUUCCUUCAGUUGGAUGGUCUGCUCCCUUUAAAUUCAUUAGUGGGAUCCUUUGUGGAUGGUCACUUGGUGUGAUAAUUAUCUACGCCGCCUGACUCUGAAACAAGACUUGUGGGAACCUGCUUAUAACCGUCUCUUUCAAGAGACAAGCUUAUCUUGACAAUUUGACCUCAAAUCAGGUAGG